rnacentral:rRNA from 1 species
UUUUUGAGGAUUUGAUCCUGGUCCAGGACGAACGCUAGCGGCGUGCUUUAAGCAUGCAAGUGGAACGGUCCGUCGCAAGACGGAAAGUCGCGAACGGCUGAGUAACACGUAGGAACCUACCCUUUGGUGUGGAAUACCUCCGAGAAAUCGGAGCUAAUACCGCAUGACCCACGUUCAGUUACAUGAACGUGGAAAAGGAUAUAACUAUUCACCGAAGGAGGGGCCUGCGGCCUAUCAGCUAGUUGGUGGGGUAACGGCCUACCAAGGCUACGACGGGUAGGGGACGUGAGAGCGUGAACCCCCAGAAUGGCACUGAGACACGGGCCAUACACCUACGGGUGGCAGCAACUGGGAAUCGUGCGCAAUGGACGAAAGUCUGACGCCGCGACGCCGCGUGAGGGAUGACAGCCUUCGGGUUGUAAACCUCUUUUAUUUAGUCCGAGAGGACUUUUUGAAUAAGCACCGGCUAACUCCGUGCCAGCAGCAGCGGUAAUACGGAGGGUGCAAGCGUUG